rnacentral:snRNA from 1 species
UCUUCUGAACUUCUUCUAU